rnacentral:tRNA from 1 species
GUGGGUUGUAGCUUAGUGGUAGAGAACUUGCCUAGCAUGUAUGAGGCACUGGGUUCAAUUCUCAGCACCACA